AACCAAAAAGCCCAGUGUUUUUCCCAAAACAAAAAAACGGUCUUUUCUGGUAGGUAGAUUUUCCUCUUCCUUUGCUAAACAGAAAAUAGCUGAGGCUUUGGAAUUACUGUGUUCCCUGCUUCAAGCCCUCCAAGUUGCAGUGGUAUCAGGGUCUGAUAAAGAGAGCACCCCAUCAUAUAAGUAAUGAUCAGACAUGAAUAACCAUAUUUGGACCAGUCAUAGUUGAAGGCAGAAGGUGCCAGGCAGCCUAGCACAUGGCUUCAUCAGCCAGCAGGACCAAAUUAUCCCUGUGUUUACUUUUUUUUAAAAAGGCACUGACCUAUGAAUAAAUAGCACUUGACAUUGAAAAUUGCCACAUUAAAUACCCUGCUCCUCUCCCCGAUUAUAGCAGCCUCCGGAGCUCUUCCAAAUUGUCACCUAGGAUGAAUAUGACAGCAAACAAUGCUUUAAAAGAGCCAGCUCUGUGGUUCCCGGCUCUCCCCAGCCAAACUGUGCUUAUGUUUCAUAGGGUCACUGACCUUUCUUUCCUUGCUGCUCCAACAACUGCUAUCUUUGCAGCUCUUCUUCCAUCUGCUGCCUUGUUUUUUGUUCCAUGGCCAUUGUGGUUGAGUACGUCCUUUGUCUGAGCUGGGACAGACAACUCCUGGCUGAGAAUUAUCCCGGAAGGCUCAGAGCCGUCCCUCUGUGCAGUAUGCAACCACUCAACACCAUCUGGGGGACCCACUAGCCAAGAUGCUCUGAGGUGGGGCACUCAGGGUUGCCAGCCUUAUCAGUGAAAUAUGGAAAGACAGAAAUAAAGAAGCAAUUUCAAGAC